CCAGACGGCCGGGCGGUCGCGGCGGGGUUCGCCCUGUCGAGGAAAGUCCGGGCUCCACGGUGAAAAGGCGGCGGGUAACGCCCGCCCGGGGUGACCCGAGGGAUAGCGCCACAGAAAGCAAACCUCCGGGCCUGCGGGGCCGGGAAGGGUGAAAGGGUGGGGUAAGAGCCCACCGCGGCUUCGGUAACGCGGCCGGCAUGGCAAGCCCCGCCUGGAGCAAGACCGAAUAGGGGCGUCGCGCGGACUCCGGUCCGCAGGGUUCACCGCCCGAGACGCCCGGGUAGGUCGCGAGAACCGCCCAGCGAUGGGCGGUCCAGAGGAAUGAUCGUCACCCGCCCCCCGGGCGGGAACAGAACCCGGCUUACAGGCCGUCUGGCACC
rnacentral:RNase_P_RNA from 1 species